rnacentral:rRNA from 1 species
UACAGAGGUGGCAAGCGUUGUUCGGAAUUACUGGGCGUAAAGGGCGCGUAGGCGGCCUUCUAAGUCAGACGUGAAAUCCCCAGGCUUAACUUGGGAACUGCGUCUGAUACUGGGAGGCUUGAGUGCGGGAGAGGGAUGUGGAAUUCCAGGUGUAGCGGUGAAAUGCGUAGAUAUCUGGAGGAACACCGGUGGCGAAGGCAGCCCCCUGGGCCAACACUGACGCUCAGGCACGAAAGCGUGGGGAGCAAACAGG